rnacentral:lncRNA from 1 species
CUUACGAAACUAUUAUGUGUUGAAGUUCACAUAAUAAGAUCUGGAGGACUCAUGGAAUAAUUAGAUAAACUGUUAAAUAAAAUUUAAAACAUCCCAAAGGAUGAGUCUAUGAGGGGUUGUUAUAAAAUAAAAAGCUUUUUAAAAACAAAAAAACUCACUAAAAUCAGAGAAAUGGUAUUACAUUAAAAAGAGAUUGCACAAAUAUAUUAAAUAGGUCAAGAGUUUAAAUCAGCAAUGGGAAAGUUGGAUUUUUUUAAAAUUAAUAUAUCUUUAAUAGCUUUUUAAAAAAAGUACCGCCAAGGAUGCUCAAAGGCACCAAAUGAACUAUAAUUAUAAAAGAAUGUGUUGGUUUCCUUAACUUUUAUGAAAAAACAAGCAAAAAAAAGGAAAAAGGAAUGUGGCUGAUAUUAUCAGCAAACCAGAGUAUCCCAGAAGGACAAGUCAGGGUAUUCACCAGGUUCCAGGAUGAAAGGAACACCCUGAAAUCCAGGUUCUUCAUAAAUCAGCCACCUAAAUAGCCACCAUGGAAGGAAAGAAAGGGAGCCGACUCAUCAUUUGUUUCAGUUUUUCCUUCUGUCUGGUACCCAGGAUGAGAGGAAAAGA